ensembl:lncRNA
AAAGCACAUAUAACAAGGACAAUUUAUCACCCGAAGUUGUAUUUACCGUGCCUUUCUUAUGAAGAUGCAAAAGAAAUCCUAAGCAUCUACUUAAUUGAAACUCUGUUACCGUGAAAUUGUACACAAUGGGAGGCUGUGGUAUAUAGUGAAAGUUACCAAGGUGGCAUUGAAAAAAAAAGAAUUAAUUGAGGAUUCAAAUAACGACCUCAGUUAUGAAUGACAGUAGAUGAAAAAAGUUAGUUGCAGCACAAGCGGAAGAAGUUGAGAAGUUGUAGUGGAAAUGCUGAGUCACGGCUUGAAGCAGUGACUGAGCAGCUGGUGGGAAGGCAGGGUGAACCCAGCGGAGCUUGUGUGCAAGAAGUGCACCUGAAGGACUGCAAGGGGCAGAGCCAGGAUCCAGCCAUUCAAAGCCUACUUUCAAGGGUUAGCAGUGGAGGUGAGGCUAUCUCUCAGGAGAUCCCUGCCCACCUGAGGCCUUCCAGAGCUCUGUUCCUUCAUUUCUGCACCAGCAGCCACUUCCCCGUGGGCAGUGUGGCACGUGUCACAGUGAGCACAGCAACCCUGUGUUGUGGCACAACCACCUUGCAGAGUAGCAGAAGCGCUGCUCCCUGGGCAGAGAGAGCAGUUGGUGCUGAGCAACGGCACUGUGAGGAGGUGGGAGAGAUUGGGAGAGCAGACCAAAGGCAGAGGUUGCCCCCAGCGCCCUCCCAGCCCACAGCGUGGUCGAGGACCGUUUGGAACCCGUCUGUGACUGCGAGCACCGAGCGGUAGGCAGAAGUCCUGAGGUUAGCCUGGUGCCGGGCCUCACCUUCCCUUCUCGCUGUGCCUGAGCAUGGCCGUGUCGGGUCUGAGGCAGCGUGCCCGUGGGCUGGCAGCCGUACCCGUGUGGCACUGAUGGCAGCGGCCAUGGCUGCACGUGGGACGCCCGGGUGCCAAAGCGCAGCUGGAAAGGAGCACGCGUGAGCUCCCGUGCGCGAUGGCGCGCUGGGGCUGGGCAGUGUCCACAGGAGUGCCGUGCCUUGCCGUGCCCACAGCCGUGCCUCACACCGCUCUGCCUGCUGAUGUGCGUGCAGGUGAGCCAUGGCGGAGGAGCACACCUGGGAAUCCCUGGUGGAAGACAACAUCAGUCAGCCGUGCUGUGCAGGAGCUGAUGGAGGUGUGUGAGCCGCCUGCAGAAAUCCCACAGGGCAGAGCUGCUGGGCACAGAGCCGGGGUGCUGCAGGGCUCGCUGCCCUGCUCUGGCCUGGCCUUGCCGUGCCCUGGGGACAGGCUGAGAAUGCCCUUAGCCACCCUACAUCCACGUAAGUGGUCCCGAUUGCCUUGCAGUGUAAGAAGAGAUCUGCAGAGCUGGCAGAUGCUGUCAGAGAAAAGGCAAAAAUCCGCAAGGCUUCUUGCAGCUUGUCUUCUUCAUCCUGGUCCUGCUGAAGAGGGACAUCCUCCACGGGGUCCUGCCUGCAGAGCAGGUGACUGCCCUUGGCAGCCGUCCACCAAAACCUGCUGUUUUCUGACCCCAGAACACACUGCAGCCCUUCAUCGUGGCACCAUUGGUUCUGCACAGGCAUUAGGUGUGCCUCCCUUGUCACUGAUAACAUCAACAAAAUCCAUCCCAAUUCCAAAAUGUUUCAUUUGUGCAUGA